UACGGGGGGGGCAAGCGUUGUUCGGAAUUACUGGGCGUAAAGGGCUCGUAGGUGGCCAACUAAGUCAUACGUGAAAUCCCUCGGCUUAACCGGGGAACUGCGUCUGAUACUGGAUGGCUUGAGGUUGGGAGAGGGAUGCGGAAUUCCAGGUGUAGCGGAUGAAAUGCGUAGAUAUCUGGAGGAACACCGGUGGCGAAGGCGGCAUCCUGGACCAAUUCUGACACUGAGGAGCGAAAGCCAGGGGAGCAAACGGG
rnacentral:rRNA from 1 species